AUUGAACGCUGGCGGCAGGCCUAACACAUGCAAGUCGAGCGGAUGAAGGGAGCUUGCUCCUGGAUUCAGCGGCGGACGAGUGAGUAAUGCCUAGGAAUCUGCCUGGUAGUGGGGGAUAACGUCCGGAAACGGGCGCUAAUACCGCAUACGUCCUGAGGGAGAAAGUGGGGGAUCUUCGGACCUCACGCUAUCAGAUGAGCCUAGGUCGGAUUAGCUAGUUGGUGGGGUAAAGGCCUACCAAGGCGACGAUCCGUAACUGGUCUGAGAGGAUGAUCAGUCACACUGGAACUGAGACACGGUCCAGACUCCUACGGGAGGCAGCAGUGGGGAAUAUUGGACAAUGGGCGAAAGCCUGAUCCAGCCAUGCCGCGUGUGUGAAGAAGGUCUUCGGAUUGUAAAGCACUUUAAGUUGGGAGGAAGGGCAGUAAGUUAAUACCUUGCUGUUUUGACGGUACCAACAGAAUAAGCACCGGCUAACUUCGUG
rnacentral:rRNA from 1 species